GUCGUGAGAUGUUGGUUAAGUCCCGCAACGAGCGCAACCCUUGUCAUUAGUUGCUACGAAAAGGGCAACUCUAAUGAGACUGCCGGUGACAACCGGAGGAAGUGGGGAUGACGUCAAGUCCUCAUGGCCCUUAUAGGUGGGGCUACACACGUCAUACAAUGGCUGGUACAAAGGGUUGCCAACCCGCAGGGGGAGCCAAUCCCAUAAAGCCAGUCGUAGUCCGGAUCGCAGUCUGCAACUCGACUGCGUGAAGUCGGAAUCGCUAGUAAUCGUGGAUCAGCAUGUCACGGUGAAUACGUUCCCGGGUCUU
rnacentral:rRNA from 1 species